rnacentral:pre_miRNA from 1 species
ACUCCCUCCGUUUGAAAAUACUUGUCCUAAAAAUAGAUGUAUCUAGACUUAUUUUAGUUAUAGAUACAUUCAUUUUAUUUAUUUUUAGGACAAGUAUUUCUAAACGGAGGGAGUAAGCA